rnacentral:rRNA from 1 species
GAUGAACGCUGGCGGCGUGCCUAAUACAUGCAAGUCGAGCGAAUGGAUUAAGAGCUUGCUCUUAUGAAGUUAGCGGCGGACGGGUGAGUAACACGUGGGUAACCUGCCCAUAAGACUGGGAUAACUCCGGGAAACCGGGGCAAAUACCGGAUAACAUUUUGAACCGCAUGGUUCGAAAUUGAAAGGCGGCUUCGGCUGUCACUUAUGGAUGGACCCGCGUCGCAGUAGCUAGUUGGUGAGGUAACGGCUCACCAAGGCAACGAUGCGUAGCCGACCUGAGAGGGUGAUCGGCCACACUGGGACUGAGACACGGCCCAGACUCCUACGGGAGGCAGCAGUAGGGAAUCUUCCGCAAUGGACGAAAGUCUGAUGGAGCAACGCCGCGUGGGUGAUGAAGGCUUUCGGGUCGUAAAACUCUGUUGUUAGGGAAGAACAAGUGCUAGUUGAAUAAGCUGGCACCUUGACGGUACCUAACCAGAAAGCCACGGCUAACUACGUGCCAGCCGCCGCAGUAA